GGUCCGGAUGCUUUCAACCCGAUUAUCAUCCGGUUUCUGGAAAAACUUACUGAGGAGCAAUGGAGGCAGUUAAGCAUUGGCAGGAUGGACCCUGUGAUGAGGGCAUUGCUUGCAGAGAUGUGCCUGGAGAUUGUGCGGUUUGUAUCUGAGGCCAUCCUGGAGGUCAUCAUCCCUGCA